GAAAUUCCAAUCGAACCCGGAGAUAGCUGGUUCUCCCCGAAAUAGCUUUAGGGCUAGCGUCGCAGCGAGAGAGCCGUGAAGGUAGAGCACUGAAUAUGCGAUGGCCGCAUCCCGCGGUACUGAGCAUAAUCAAACUCCGAAUGUCACGGUGUCAUCUGCGGCAGUCAGACGGCGAGUGAUAAGGUCCGUCGUCAAAAGGGAAACAGCCCAGACCAUCAGCUAAGGUCCCAAAGUGCAUGCUAAGUGGAAAAGGAAGUGGAGACGUGCAGACAACUAGGAGGUUGGCUCAGAAGCAGCCAUCCUUCAAAGAGUGCGUAACAGCUCACUAGUCGAAUGACUCUGCGCCGAUAAUUUACCGGGGCUAAGCAUGACACCGAAGCUAUGGACAGGAAUGUGGUAGGGGAGCAUUGCAUGCAGCGGAGAAGCAUGACCGGAAGGGCAUGUGGAGCGCAUGGAAGAGAGAAUGCCGGCGUGAGUAGCGGCACGUGGGUGAGAAUCCCACGCACCGAUGGCCCAAGGUCUCCAGAGGAAGGCUCGUCCUCUCUGGGAUAGUCGGGACCUAAGGCGAGGCCGAAAGGCGUAGCCGAUGGACGACGGGUGGAUAUUCCCGUACCCGAUGUGUGGCGAUGGAGUGACGGAGAAGGCUCAGGCAACCAGCUGCUGGAAUAGCUGGGGCAAGCGAGAUACCUGCGCACCAGGGAAAUCCGGUGCGCACAAGGGGAAGGCGCGAUGCAUACGGAAAGCUUCGGCAAGUACGGAAAAGCUGAGAGCAGGCUUCCAGGAAAAGCUUCUAGCACAACACACAUCGGCCCGUACCGAAAAUGGACACACAUGGGCAAGGAGAGAAUCCUGAGGUGAGCGAGAGAACUAUAGCUAAGGAACUCUGCAAAAUGACCCCGUAACCUAGGGAGAAGGGGUGCUCCAGAAAUGGAGCCGCAGUAAAACGGCCCAAGCGACUGUUUACCAAAAACACAGCUCUCUGCGAAGGCGCAAGCCGAAGUAUAGGGGGUGACGCCUGCCCGGUGCUGGAAGGUCAAGGGGAGCUGUCAGCGCAAGCGAAGCAGCGAGCCGAAGCCCCAGUAAACGGCGGCCGUAACUAUAACGGUCCUAAGGUAGCGAAAUUCCUUGUCGGGCAAGUUCCGACC
rnacentral:rRNA from 1 species